GGGCGGGUAGUCUAGCGGUUAUGACGCCACACAUAAAACGUGGAGGUCCCAGGUUCAAAUCCUGGCCCGCCCACCA
rnacentral:tRNA from 1 species